UACGUAGGUGGCAAGCGUUGUCCGGAUUUACUGGGCGUAAAGAGCGCGCAGGCGGUCGUUCAAGUCGCGUGUGAAAGCCCCCGGCUCAACUGGGGAGGGUCACGCGAUACUGAUCGACUCGAAGGCAGGAGAGGGAAGUGGAAUUCCCGGUGUAGUGGUGAAAUGCGUAGGAUAUCGGGAGGAACACCAGUGGCGAAGGCAACUUCCUGGCCUGUUCUUGACGCUGAGGCGCGAAAGCUAGGGGAGCAAACGGG
rnacentral:rRNA from 1 species